rnacentral:lncRNA from 1 species
CAGUACGUUUCCGAGCACAAUUCAAAGUGUUGGUGCUGACCUUUAAAGCCCUAAACAGCCUCGGUCCAGUAUAUCUGAAGGAGCAUCUUCACCCGCAUUGUUCUACCCAGACACUGAGGUCCAACUCCGAGGGCCUUCUGGCGGUUCCCUCACUGCGAGAAGCCAAGUUACAGAGAACCAGGCAGAGGGCCUUCUAGGUAGUGGCACCCGCCCUGUGGAACUUCCUCCCACCAGAUGUCAAAGAGAACAACAACUAACAGACUUUUAGACAACAUCUGAAGGUAGCCCUGUUUAGGGAAGCUUUUAAUGUUUGAUGCAUUACUGUAUUUUAAUAUUAUGUUGGAAGCCACCCAGAGUGGCUGGGGAAACCCAGCCAGAUGGGCGGCCGGGAUAUAAAUAAUAAAUAAAUAAUAAAUUUAUUAUUAUUAUUAUUAUUAUUAUUAUUAUUAUUAUUAUAUCAUCCUCUGAGGACUCUGUGUCUAGCGCCAGGCCAAGGCUAUGCUGGUCAAGGGAUGAGAUCCAGCUGCACUUAGCUCAGGGGCAGAGCACCUCCUCUGCGUACAGAAAGCCCCAGGCUCCAUCUCUGAGGCCUCCCGUUAGGGUUGGGAAAGACCCCUGUGUGAAACACUAGAAAACUGCUGCCAGCCAGUGUAGACAGUACUGAGCUAGAUGGACCAAAGUCUGACUCAGUGCAAUGCAGAUUCCUAUCUCCCCUCCCCCGCCCCCCGAGAACAGAACUAUCAACGGUUUCUAGCCACAAUGCCUAAGGAUGGAAACCUCCCUCUUCAGGGGACAUUGCACCUCAAAUUACAAGACUUCGCAUGUGAAGUCCAAUGACUUCUGGAGGGCACUAGGUUCCGAUCCUGAAGUAGGCUUCGGCCUACUCCAGAAACGCAAUUGUUCCGUCCCGUUGUUAAGUUUCUUCUGCCUCAUUGUUCUUCUCUACUUUUCACCUUGAGAGAGAAGGGAGAAAGAAAGGGAAAAAAAUCUCUUUCCCAGUAUCACAGCUCAUUCGAUAGACGUCCUACGGCAGCAGAGAGGCCCCGUCUCUUGUGAGGAAGAGCAGUUAGCGUUGGCGACAUUAAUUUCCCCUCAGCGUCUCCCGAACGGCCCGAGUUGCUAAGUAGGGUUGCGAUAAGGGAAAGCCGGCUCGCCUGGCCGCUUUAUAGAUAAGCGCCGUUCUGUAUAAAAACUGCCGCUAUGGAAUUUUUGUUUCUAAAUGAAAGGGGGAAAUGAAAAAAAGCACCCAGCUCAUGACAGAGUUCGAGAGAGCAACCGACGGGAAAAAAGAGGAUUAAGCUAUUGAUACAAGAGCAACGCUGCUUCAAAAUGUGGGAAGGAGAGGGAAAUGUCAUGGCUGUACUACCGGAGUGAGCCAACCGUCAGGAGGCUGGAAGGGCUGAGCUCACAUUUUGCCUUCACUGUAGAAUCAUAGAAUUGUAAAGUCAGAAGGGACCCAAAGGGGCAUCUAGUCCAACCCCCUGCAAUGAAGGAACCACAGCUGCAGACUCUCUGACAGGUGGCCAUCUGACCUCCGUUUAAAAACCUUCAAUGAAGGAGAGCCCGCCACCUUCCAACCUAGUCUGUUCCACUGUCAAGCAGCUCUCACCUCCUUAAAGUUCUCCCUAAAGUUUAGUCAUUUGAAUCUUUGUUUGGGUCCUACCCUCUGGAGCAGGAGAAAACAAGCUUGCUGUGUCUACAGAUAUUUGAAUGUGGCUGUCACACCACCUCUCAUUCUUCUCUUCUCCAGGCUAAACAUACCCAGCUCCCUCAAUCAAGAGUUUCCAAACUCUUGAUCAUCUUGAUCGCUGUCCUCUGCACAUGUUCCAGCUCACCAAAAUCCUCCUUAAACUGUGGUGUCCAGAAUUCCUCCCUAUCUGCUAUUUGACAAAGGGACAAUUUAACAGGCUUUGAAGGACACUCAGCAUGGCUUCAAUACUGGAAGGAGAAGUCUAACCAAUCCACCCUGAUCAUAGUGGACGGAGGACAUGGCUCAACUGGCGGUUCAGGAGGAGGUGACCACCUGCUAACAAAAGAAAGAUCGGAAUUUGUCUGUUAUAUGUACUCUUUUUGCAGAUCUGUUUGCUUGGAUGUCUGAGCACUUGCUUGGUCUGGACCACCAGCCAUUUCCCUUCUUCUUCCCCAUCUCUUCCUCACCACAGCUGUCAACUUUUCCCUUUUCUUGCAAGGAAUCCUAUUCAGAAUAAGGGAAUUUCCCUUUUAAAAAGGGAACAGUUGACAGCUAUGCUCCUCACUUGCAAACAUAGAACAUGCUGUCUUGAUUCAUUAACACUUAGAUUGUAUUGCUUGACUGUAUUUGUUUCUUUUGGGAAAAUUCAAUAAAAAAUUAUGAAUAACAAGAAAGAAAGGAAGGAAGGAAGGAAGGAAGGAAGGAAGGAAGGAAGGGAGAGGAUGGGAUGACAACCAGGAAGCCAUGACGGAAAAGGCCCUCAGCACCAAAGUCAGAGAGCUGGAUAAGACCCCAUGAGGACGAUACUAACAAUUUGAAAGUUCAUACGGGUGAAGGUGGUCUUAUUGGUAAGUGCAGUCCCAAGCUGCAUGAAGCUUUGAAGUGGAAUAAUGACUAGGAAUCAAAGCUGUGCUUGAAAACUGAUUGUGAGCUUUGGGGACACUGAGAAGGUAGCCAAGUACCUGUUGAAGAUUCAUUCCCCGUGUCUGCAGUCAUGGGAUUGUUGUCUAUCACAUGAUGGUG